GACCCCAGCUUAGCAGCAGUAACGCCAUUUUGCAAGGCUGUACUUAAGAUGACUGGUUCAGGGAAAGGUUAGAACACUGAGUACACAGCGGCUGCCAAGCAGGAUGUGUUUGGUUGAAGGCCUGGCAACAGGACGACUUCGGUUGAGCACCUGACAAUGAAAAAAAAAGCCCCGAGAGAGGUCCCACACCCUGGUGGGGGGCCGAGUCAGUCGUUAUGUUCCAAGAAGGUAGCUAAGAAACUUGCCCCCGGGCUGAACCCUUGGGGGGCCGAGUCAGCCGUUAUGUUUCAGGAAGGUAGCUAGGAAACUUGCCCCCGGGCUAAACCCUUGCCAUAUUAGAAUCCACCAAUUAUAUCCCUGUAACCAUGCAUCUGCUUCUGUGUGCUUGCUUCUGCUCCCCAAAAUCCUAUAAAAGCCCAUCCUUGGUUCCGUGGGGCGCGCCAGUCCCCCGAGUGACUGAAGCGCCCGCAGGUGCCUGUGCCUGUGUAUCCCGACAAUAAACCAAAUCCUCUUGCUGAUUGCAUCCUGUGGUGUCUCGGUCUGGUCUUUGGAGUUGGAGGGUCUCCAUCCCAAGGGAAAGUUCUCCCUGAGAGCUUUUCAUUUGGUGCAUUGGCUGGGAAAGGAGAUCCUCCACCCAGGGACUACCGACCACCCACUGGGAGGUAAGCCGGCCGGCGUCUGUCUGUCUGUCUGAUUUUGUCUCGUUCUGUCUUAUUCUGUCUGUUCUGUGAGCGCUCAGCCAGGUUCUGUGAGCGCUCAGCCAGGUCUGUUCUGUGAGCGCUCAGCCAGGUUGUUUGGAAUUUGGGCGGGACGAAGAAGGAGCUGACGAGCUCGGACUUCUCGCCCCGCAGCCCUGGAAGACGUUCCAAGGGUGUUAGGGGCCCGACUUUUCGGGGCCCAAUCUGGGAGGAGAAAGAUCCGGACUAACGGCACCUCUGUCUGUAUUUUUGGCUUUCAGAGGGCCCCGGACCUUUGCCACCUCCAUCUGACUUUUUGCUUUCAGUUUGGUACCAAAGCCGUGCAGCACGCCUGUCUGUUGUUUGUUUGACUGUUAGUGUUGUUUGUUUUCUCUGUGUUCUAAUCUUCCUUAGAACUAACAUGGGACAGUCCCUAACAAUGCCCCUAAGUCUCACUCUUGAUCAUUAGAAAGACGUCCACGACCGGGCACACAACCAGUCCAUCGAGGUUAAAAAAGGAAAAUGACAGACUCUCUGCACAUCCGAGUGGCCCACUUUCGGAGCAGGAUGGCCAGUGAAUGACACAUUUAAUAAGAUCAUUAUUUUACAGGUUAAAGAUCGGGUCAUCCACGGACAUCCUGACCAGGUUUCUUAUAUUAUCACUUGAGAGAGUCUCGCCUUAACCCCCCCCCCCCCAGGCGGAACCCUUCGUGGACCCGAAUUGGCCUCCCCUCAACCCCCAGCCUGUCCCCUCGGCCCCGCCCGGUCCGCCGGCCACGUCUUCCUCUCUCUACCUUUGUGAAAUCAGAGCCUUCUAAGAAACCUGUCCUCCCGGCAGACCCAAACUCCCCUCUCAUAGAUCUUCUCUCUGACAGGCCCGGCUAAAACGGAGGAGGCAGAGCCGCCGGCCAGAUCAGUUGCCGGGCCACAGUCUGAUAAGGGUUUCUCCCCUGUCGCAGGGAGAUUGCGCAAUAAGCGCGAGGUGAUGCCAGAUUCAACCUCCCAGGCUUUCCCACUUAGACAGGGAACCGGUGGCCAGACCCAAUACUGGCCGUUUUCAGCAGCUGACAUUUACAAUUGGAAACAACACAACCCUUCUUUCUCCAAAGAUCCGGUGGCACUCACCGACCUAAUAGAAUCUGUUUUACUUACCCACCAGCCUACUUGGGAUGACUGCCAACAGCUCUUACAGUCCCUCUUAACCUCAAAAAAAAAAAAAAAAAAACCAAAGAGUGUUCCUAGAGGCCAGAAAGCAUGUUCUGGGAGAUGAUGGGCGUCCCACCCAGCUGCCUGAGGACCAAACUGGGAUUUUAAUACAGCUGAAGGUAAGGGACACCUACGCCUUUAUCGCCAGUUGCUUCUAGCGGGUCUCCGAGGGGCUAUACGACGCCCUACUAAUUUGGCUCAGGUAAAACAGGUAUUACAGGAAGCAGGGAAAACUCCCUCCACCUUUCUAGAGAGACUUAAGGAGGCCUACCGUAUGUACACUCCCUAUGACCCAGAUGACCCAGGACAAAUGACGAGUGUCUCUAUGUCCUUCAUCUGGCAGGCUGCUCCAGAUAUCAGGACUAAGUUACAGAGGUUAGAAAAAUUGCAGGGCUAUACAUUACAGGAUUUACUUAAAGAAGCUAAAAAGAUUUUUAAUAAGAGAGAGAUAAAAAAAAAAAACAAAGAAUUGAGUCGAAUCUUGGCCACCGUAGUACAGGGCCAAGAAAGGAAGGGAGAUAGGGGGGAGCUCGAAAGGGGCUGAAGCUGGAUAAAGAUCAAUGUGCCUAUUACAAAGAGAAAGGGCACUGGGCCAGAGAGUGCCCCAAGAAGCCUGGCGGACCCCGAAAGCCUCGACCACGAACCUCCCUCUUGGCUCUAGAUAAAGAUUAGGGAGGUCAGGGCCAGGAGCCCCCCCUGAGCCCAGGGUAAUGCUUAAAGUUGGUGGGCAGCCGGUUGCUUUCCUGAUAGACACAGGAGCCCAGCAUUCAGUCCUCACUCAAGCUUCAGGACAACUCAGUGACCGGACGGCCUGGGUACAAGGAGCUACUGGUGAGAAACAAUACCGAUGGACUAUGGACCGCCGGGUUCAGCUGGCUACUGGUAAGGUGACCCAUUCCUUCUUACAUGUUCCGGACUGCCCGUACCCUCUGCUGGGCCGUGACCUGCUCACCAAACUAAAAGCACAAAUUCAUUUUGAGGAAGGAGGGGCCCAAAUAACUGGCCCCCACGGAACUCCCCUUCAAGUUCUAACCCUAUGAACUGGGACAGGACACUGGCUUGGACAGAGACUGGUGGGAUGGGGUUGGCGCUCCAACAGCCCCCCUUAAUUACAACUCCAGUCUCCAUAAAACAAUACCCCCUGUCCCAUGAAGCUUAUCAAGGUAUAAGGCCUCACAUUACGAGGCUUCUGGAUCAAGGCAUCCUAGUCCCCUGCCGGUCGCCUUGGAAUACGCCUCUUCUGCCUGUUAAGAAACCCGGCACUGGAGAUUAUAGGCCAGUACAAGACUUGAGAGAGGUCAACAAGAGGGUAGAAGAUAUUCAUCCGACUGUUCCAAACCCUUACAAUUUGCUCAGUAACUGUUCAUCGAUGAGAAACAGGGGUAUGCUAAAGGGGUCCUAACACAAAGGUUGGGACUCUGAAAACGCCCUGUGGCCUACCUGUCUAAGAAAUUGGACCCUGUGGCCUCCGGCUGGCCACCGUGCCUAAAGAUGGUGGCUGCUAUUGCUGUCCUGAUCAAGGACGCUGGAAAAUUGACUUUGGGACAGCCACUCACCAUCCUAGCACCCCACGCAGUGGAGGCCUUGAAGUACAUGGAACCAGGCCGGACCUAUCGGACCAGCCUCUUCAGAAUGCUGACCACACAUGGUACACGGAUGACAACAGCUUCUUGGCAGAGGGAGAGCGAAAGGCUGGAGCUGCGGUCACUACGGAGGACAAAGUGAUUUGGGUGAAAGCCCUGCCUGCUGGUACCUCCGCACAACGGGCUGAACUCAUCGCCUUGACUCAGGCACUCAAGAUGGCAAAAGGUAAGAGGCUAAAUGUAUAUACAGACAGCCGUUAUGCCUUUGCCACGGCACACAUCCACGGGGAGAUCUACCAGAGGCGGGAGCUGCUCACAUCUGAGGGUAAAGAUAUGGCUAAAAUUCUGGCCCUCUUAGAAGCCCUAUUCUUGCCCAAAAGACUGAGUAUUAUACAUUGUCCAGGACACCAGAAAGGGCACAACCCAGAGGCACGAAGAAACCGGCUGGCCGAUGCCACGGCGCGAGAAGCGGCCAUGAGCAAACAAAUCUUGCCCUUAAAUAGCCCAGACCAACCCACACCCCCACCAGUGGGACAAACCAGUUGGGUUUACGCCCAUGAGGACAUAGAGCUCCUAAAAAAAAUGGGGGCCAUCUACCACCCUCAACUAAAACAGUGGGUCUACAAAGGACUUUUGAAUUGAUCUCCUUUUUACAUAAAUUAACCCAUUUGGGGUUUAAAAAGAUGAAAACCUUACUAGAUCGGGAAGAGAAGGAGUUCGUCCUAGGGGACAACGUCCCGACAUCCAUUGGGAAAUUGAUUUUACUAAAAUUAAACCAGGUAUAUAUGGAUACAAGUAUCUCCUAGUGUUUGUAGACACCUUCUCAGGAUGGGUCAAAGCCUUCCCCACGAAGCACGAGACUACAAAAAUGGUCACCAAGAAGCUCCUCGAGGAAAUCUUUCCCAGGUAUGACAUGCCUCAAGCAUUGAGGUCGGACAACGGGCCCACUUUUGUCUCCCAAGUAAGUCAGUUGGUGGCCAAAUUGCUGGGGAUUGAUUGGAAAUUACAUUGUGCCUAUAGACCCCAGAGUUCAGGUCAGGUAGAACGCAUGAAUAGAACAAUUAAGGAGACUUUAUCCAAACUUACGCUUGCAACUGGCUCAAAGGAUUGGGUGGCCCUCCUUCCCCUAGUUCUAUAUUGGGCCCGGAAUACCCCGGGCCCCCAUGGUCUAACUCCUUUUGAAAUAAUAUAUGGAACACCACCCCCAUUUGUCCAUUUCUUUGAUUCAAACAUUGCUGAUUUUGCUGACAGCCCUUCUCUGAGGGCCCAUUUACAGGCCCUACAGAUUGUGCAGAGAGACGUCUGGAGACCUUUGGCCACUGCUUACCAGGACAAGCUUGAGCAUCCGGUGGUGUCACACCCGUUCCAGAUUGGAGACACCGUGUGGGUGCACAGACACCAGACCAAGAAUCUCGAGCCACGGUGAAAAGGACCCUACACCGUCCUCCUGACUACCCCGACCGCCCUAAAGGUAGACGGAGUCUCGGCUUAGAUCCACGCACCACACGUCAAGGCAGUCCGGUCUGAGGAAUUGACUAAUCACAACACUACACCCCAGACAUGGAGAGUUCAGCGCAUUCCAAACCCCUUAAAGUUAAAACUCCUACGUGGCUCCUCCUAGCCCUUUUGUGGCCUAGAGUCAGUGGGGGAAUAAGCCCCCACCAGACAGAAAUUUCUUGACCAAGUCGAGUGAAAGAUUUCACUCAAAGUUAACAAAAAAAAAAUGGGGGAAUGAAAGACCCCAGCUUAGCAGCAGUAACGCCAUUUUGCAAGGCUGUACUUAAGAUGACUGGUUCAGAGAAAGGUUAGAACACUGAGUACACAGCGGCUGCCAAGCAGGAUGUGUUUGGUUGAAGGCCUGGCAACAGGACGACUUCGGUUGAACACCUGACAAUGAAAAAAAAGCCCCGAGAGAGGUCCCACACCCUGGUGGGGGGCCGAGUCAGUCGUUAUGUUCCAAGAAGGUAGCUAAGAAACUUGCCCCCGGGCUGAACCCUUGGGGGGCCGAGUCAGCCGUUAUGUUUCAGGAAGGUAGCUAGGAAACUUGCCCCCGGGCUAAACCCUUGCCAUAUUAGAAUCCACCAAUUAUAUCCCUGUAACCAUGCAUCUGCUUCUGUAUGCUUGCUUCUGCUCCCCAAAAUCCUAUAAAAGCCCAUCCUUGGUUCCGUGGGGCGCGCCAGUCCCCCGAGUGACUGAAGCGCCCGCAGGUGCCUGUGCCUGUGUAUCCCGACAAUAAACCAAAUCCUCUUGCUGAUUGCA